GAUAUGCAGCCAUCAACCUCCUCCACCAUCCAUCCGUCCACAACCUCUGCCAGCCAGCCGUCAACCUCCUCCACCAUCCAUCCGUCCACAACCUCUGGCAGCCAGCCAUCAACCUCCUCCACCAUCCAUCCGUCCACAACCUCUGCUAGCCAGCCGUCAACCUCCUCCAAAAGAGCCUCCACAGGCCCUCUGAGCUUACCUCCAAGAAAAAGCACCAGAAGGAAGACAGAAGAUGGAUCGAAAGAAUGCAGCCAUAUGGUUGGAGAUGACGGGUAUUACCCAGUGAAACGGGUAGUAAAAACAAAAAAACAAAAGGGGAAAAUAAUGGAACUAAUCGAGUUGGAGCCCUGCUCCAUGUGUGGAAAGAUAUUCCAACUUGAGUGGGUACGGAUGGAAGAAACCAAAAAAUAACAAUUUGUUAAUAAUAAUAAAUACAUCUGCAAAAGUGUAAUCUUGAUGUUGUCAUGCAAUUCAUACAUGCGUACAAGGAG